GAAUACUUUCAGUGAAUUGAAAAAAUCAUACCAAUUUAAAGUUGAUAAAGAGAAUAAGAUAUAAAGCAUGAUAUGGAAAAUUAGACUGACUUGAAACACCAUAAGAGGGAAAAAAAAAAUCCAAAUCUUGUCUAAAACUCAAGAGGAAGGACAAAAGAACAAGUCUUCCUAAGCCAUAACGAAAUGAUGAAAUUAUGAGAAAGAUUACAAGUUUAGCUUUAAAGUGACUUUGAUUUGAGCUGAAAUGGGAUCUUGUGACGUAAUGAGAUAAAUUUAAAGGAUACCAACCAAAUCAAUCAAUCAUCUUACUCUAAAUACAAUGACUAUUCAUGACUGAAUAGAACCCCACCAGCCUGAUCCAAAAAUGGCCCUGGAACCACAAAUUUUAGGUGUCAU
rnacentral:misc_RNA from 1 species